AUUGAACGCUGGCGGCAGGCUUAACACAUGCAAGUCGAGCGGGAUGAUGGUGCUUGCACUAUCACUUAGCGGCGGACGGGUGAGUAAUGCUUAGGAAUCUGCCUAUUAGUGGGGGACAACAUCUCGAAAGGGAUGCUAAUACCGCAUACGUCCUACGGGAGAAAGCAGGGGAUCACUUGUGACCUUGCGCUAAUAGAUGAGCCUAAGUCGGAUUAGCUAGUUGGUGGGGUAAAGGCCUACCAAGGCGACGAUCUGUAGCGGGUCUGAGAGGAGGAUCGGCCACACUGGGACUGAGACACGGCCCAGACUCCUACGGGAGGCAGCAGUGGGGAAUAUUGGACAAUGGGGGGAACCCUGAUCCAGCCAUGCCGCGUGUGUGAAGAAGGCCUUAUGGUUGUAAAGCACUUUAAGCGAGGAGGAGGCUCUUUUGGUUAAUACCCAAGAUGAGUGGACGUUACUCGCAGAAUAAGCACCGGCUAACUCUGUGCCAGCCGCCGCAGUAA
rnacentral:rRNA from 1 species